ACCUUUAUUCUAUGCCAUACUGAUGUCAGUUUAUGAAGCAUCAGAUCGCUGAAUAAUACCCAAUUGCUAUAGUCGCUAGUAUUCCACCAUCAAAUUAGACUUUUUUUCAUUAAAAAAAAUCAAAAUCUAAUAGAGGGCGAUGCAAUUGUCCUGAUAGCGGUUGCUACGUGAGAACUUUGUCGUCGUUCCUUCUUUCGUGGUUACUUGCGGUUCUGUUGUUUUUGUUAUAUUUUUCCCACUCGGUGUUUGCUAACGCCGGUACUAUUAUCUCAGUUAUCUUUGUAGCUGCUCGUUUGUUUUAUGCCUAGAAUGUUCUCCUUCAGCAUCAGCAGUAACAAACGGCUGUCGUGGUAAACAGGGUGUUUUUUUAUCGGGUUUGAGUUGUUGCUUGUCGGCGAUGCCAGUGAUCUGCCUCAGUUGUCGCUAGUCCUGUCGUGUAACGGUCAUUGGCCUAUCGGGCUUGUCUACGUGCUGGCCAAGGACGUCACGAUGACCGCUGAUAGCUCAACGGCCCUCGACGCUGCUGCCCCGAGCUACAUCCCUUUGGUCUGACAGACUUUUUCAUUAGAAACUGUGCAGAAGCCGGCCCGGUCGCUGCCUGCUUAGUCAGCUAUAGCCGUGUAUUUAUAGACAGAUUUGCAGAUGUGUGUCGUGUCGUAGCCAGAAGUAUUAUAAUGUGCUGUGAGGCACGUUUUUUACUUACGAGGGCCGGCGUUGACAGGAAAGCUAACGCGAAGUUCCUUUAAUGGGUUACCAUGGUAACGAUGAACGUGCGCCUGUUAAUAGUUCAAAUUCUAACGUAGGCAAAUAAUUACUGUGACCUGUUGUUACUAUAGCGUUCUUUUAUAGGCCUGUAAGCGAAACCGCAGAUAAGUUUAGCAAAACUUACCCCCCUUACUGAAAAGUGAGCAGGUUCACUUUAGAAUUGAGCUGGUGAACAAAAAACUCUCAAGUCGACAAUAGAAAUUUGGCAUGGAACAGGGUGGAAAUAGGGACGUACCUCUACCUCAAGACAGAGCGAACGGCUGGAGCUAAACCGCCGCAGCAGUGAAAAACAAUGUAUAAAUAAGUUACUGUGUUCAACAACAAAGCAACGCGGGCAGAAGCAUCAAGCGAGCGACAAGCAAUGAAAUCGAUGAGGCUACCUGUUAUAAAUCAGCGCAUAUAUAGGCAUCCGGAAGUUUUGCUAAGUUGAUACACAGUGAAAAGCUAACACUAUAGAUGUAAAUGGAGGAAACAUUAGACAUCCAUGGUGAAUUAACCUAAUUCAGACACUAUGUAAGUAUAAAACUUUUGCUCAAGUGAUCUGAUUCAUUGGUUUUCAAAUGAAGGUAGACUCCAGAGUACGUUAGGUAAAGGAAGGUGCUGGAACGCUGCGCUGUCUUUUCGUGUGUCUGCAACGUAACUUAUCAUGGCAUCCGUCUCAAUUUUUACCAUUUUAAAUGAAUGAACACA